rnacentral:rRNA from 1 species
GAUGAACGCUGGCUACAGGCUUAACACAUGCAAGUCGAGGGGAAACGACGGGGAAGCUUGCUUCCCCGGGCGUCGACCGGCGCACGGGUGAGUAACGCGUAUCCAACCUGCCUCUGACUGAGGGAUAACCCGUCGAAAGUCGGCCUAAUACCUCAUGGCAUCGUCUGCGGGCAUCCAACGACGAUUAAAGAUUUCAUCGGUCAGGGAUGGGGAUGCGUCUGAUUAGCUUGUUGGCGGGGUAACGGCCCACCAAGGCGACGAUCAGUAGGGGUUCUGAGAGGAAGGUCCCCCACAUUGGAACUGAGACACGGUCCAAACUCCUACGGGAGGCAGCAGUGAGGAAUAUUGGUCAAUGGGCGGGAGCCUGAACCAGCCAAGUAGCGUGCAGGAUGACGGCCCUAUGGGUUGUAAACUGCUUUUAUGCGGGGAUAAAGUGAGGGACGUGUCCCUCAUUGCAGGUACCGCAUGAAUAAGGACCGGCUAAUUCCGUG